UACGUAGGGUGCGAGCGUUAAUCGGAAUUACUGGGCGUAAAGCGUGCGCAGGCGGCUCUGUAAGACAGACGUGAAAUCCCCGGGCUUAACCUGGGAACUGCGUUUGUGACUGCAAGGCUAGAGUACGGCAGAGGGGGGUAGAAUUCCACGUGUAGCAGUGAAGUGCGUAGAUAUGUGGAGGAAUACCGAUGGCGAAGGCAGCCCCCUGGGUCGAUACUGACGCUUAUGCACGAAAGCGUGGGGAGCAAAC
rnacentral:rRNA from 1 species